UCUCCGUUGGUGAACCAGCGGAGGGAUCAUUACCGAGUUUACAACUCCCAAACCCCUGUGAACAUACCAUUUGUUGCCUCGGCGGUGCCUGCUUCGGCAGCCCGCCAGAGGACCCAAUCCCUUGAUUUUAUACAGUAUCUUCUGAGUAAAUGAUUAAAUAAAUCAAAACUUUCAACAACGGAUCUCUUGGUUCUG
rnacentral:misc_RNA from 1 species